AUAUAUCUCAUUGUACAGGAGACGUCUUCUAGUUUGGAUCUGACCCUCCAGAAACAUCAAGAUGAUUUCUCCCAGUUAUCUGCUGGCUGUCAUCUUCAUUUCUAUUCAGGGAUCCUGUGGAGAGAUUGUGAUGACUCAGACUCCGGAUUCUAGCUCUGUGUCCCCGGGACAGACAGUCACCAUCACAUGUACAUCCAGUUCUUACACUGGCAAUGCUAUAGCCUGGUACCAACAGAAACCAGGAAAGUCUCCAACACUUCUCAUCUAUGGUGCAGCCACCCGACACACAGGAGUCCCAGACCGGUUCUCUGGUAGUAGUGGUGGAUCUCCUUACACUCGUUACACUCUGACAAUUACUGGUGUGACUGAAGAAGAUGAAGCCAAAUAUUACUGUCAGCAGAGUAUAGAGUACCCUCUCACACAGUGA